AUCAGGAAUAUAUGGUUUUAUCUUCAUCUUGAAGAUUUUUUUGGCAACUAAGGUUACAAAGAAUAGAAGUUGCUCGGAGACUGGAAGAACUAAUGGGCCCAGAGUGGUUAUAUUCGUUUUAAGGGCUUCUCCAGCUAUAGCCAUUAGGUCUUUUGAGAGAGAGACGCCAACUCUUUGGGUGUCAAGAUCCUCUCGUUGCAAGACACAGUUGAAGGACUUAUCAUCUGCACCCUUAUGUGUACGUACAGUACGGAUAAGUUGAUACUUUGAGCGACGGCGAUCAAAUGUCCGGUUGGAUAGGAGGACUGCGGCUGCUCCCAUACGGAAGAGGCAGUUGGUGACAAGCAUCGAUCGGUCAUUGCCAAAAUACCAGUUGCGAGUAAUGUUCUCGGUGCUCACCACUAGGGCAUAGGAGUUGGGAUGCACCUGGUACAAUGAAGUGUCAAUCCUUGUAAUUAUUAUUACUUUUAUUAUAUAAAGGAAAUAUUUAAACCCGA